rnacentral:rRNA from 1 species
GGAGGUCCGAACCCACGAGCGUUGAAAAGCUCGGGGAUGACUUGUGGGUAGCGGUGAAAUUCCAAUCGAGCCCGGAGAUAGCUGGUUCUCCCCGAAAUAGCUUUAGGGCUAGCCUCAAGGUGAGAGAUACGGAGGUAGAGCACUGAAUGUCCUAGGGGGUAUUGCACCUACCGAAGACUAUCAAACUCCGAAUGCCGUCAUCUUAUACUUGGGAGUCAGACUGUGGGUGAUAAGAUUCAUAGUCGAAAGGGCAACAGCCCAGAUCGUCAGCUAAGGUCCCUAAAUGUAAGUUAAGUGGUAAAGGAUGUGGGAUUGCACAGACAACCAGGAUGUUGGCUUAGAAGCAGCCACUCAUUCAAAGAGUGCGUAAUAGCUCACUGGUCGAGUGAUCCUGCGCCGAAGAUUUCCGGGGCUAAAACUUACUACCGAAGCUACGGCAUCAGUAAUGAUGGGUAGGGGAGCUUCCCAUACGGGUUGAAGCAUGACCGUAAGGACAUGUGGACAGUAUGGGAGUGAGAAUGUUGGCAUGAGUAGCGAGAUGUGGGUGAGAAUCCCACAGGCCGUAAACCCAAGGUGUCCAGGGGAAGGUUCGUCCGCCCUGGGUUAGUCGGGACCUAAGCUGAGGCCGAAAGGCGUAGGUGAUGGACAACAGGUUGAUAUUCCUGUACUACCGAUAACCGUUUGAGAGAAGGGAUGACACAGUAGGAUAAGCUAAGCACACUGUUGGUUAUGUGUGCCCAAGCAUUGAGGCAGUCAAAGUAGGCAAAUCCGCUUUGAUAAUGCUGGGAUGUGAUGGGGAGCGAAAUUUAGUAGCGAAGUAGCUGAUUUCACACUGUCAAGAAAAGUCUCUAUCGAGGUUAAAGGUACCCGUACCGCAAACCGACACAGGUGGGUGAGGAGAGUAUACUCUGGCGC